CGUAGGGGAGCUCGGUUUAGCCGGGCUGAGAGGGCGGCCGUCAAUGCCACCGACCCCAGCGAACCUGAUCUGGGUAAUGCCAGCGGAGGGAAAACGG
rnacentral:ncRNA from 1 species